rnacentral:ribozyme from 1 species
GUAAGUCAAUGUGGAAUUCCUUUAUGUGGAGACUUACAUAAGUAACUUGUGCAUAAUCAAGCGAAACAGAAUUUCCAC